rnacentral:rRNA from 1 species
GACAGAGGUGCCAAGCGUUAGGCGGAAUCACUGGGCUUAAAGCGUGUGUAGGCGGAUCGUUAAGUGCUUUGUGAAAUCCCACAGCUCAACUGUGGAACUGCUUGGCAUACUGGCGAUCUUGAGCCAUCUAGGGGUUGCUGGAACAAACGGUGGAGCGGUGAAAAUGCGUAGAUAUCGUUUGGAACGCCAAUGGUGAAAACAGGCAACUGGGGAUGUGCUGACGCUGAGACACGAAAGCCAGGGGAGCAAACGGGG